GGGCCCGCACAAGCGGUGGAUGAUGUGGUUUAAUUCGAUGCAACGCGAAAAACCUUACCUACCCUUGACAUGCCAGGAACGCUCCAGAAAUGGGGCGGUGCUCGAAAGAGAACCUGGACACAGGUGCUGCAUGGCUGUCGUCAGCUCGUGUCGUGAGAUGUUGGGUUAAGUCCCGCAACGAGCGCAACCCUUGCCAUUAGUUGCUACAUUCAGUUGAGCACUCUAAUGGGACUGCCGGUGACAAACCGGAGGAAGGUGGGGAUGACGUCAAGUCCUCAUGGCCCUUAUGGGUAGGGCUACACACGUCAUACAAUGGCGCGUACAGAGGGUUGCCAACCCGUGAGGGGGAGCCAAUCCCAGAAAGCGCGUCGUAGUCCGGAUUGAAGUCUGCAACUCGACUUCAUGAAGUCGGAAUCGCUAGUAAUCGCGGAUCAGCAUGUCGCGGUGAAUACGUUCCCGGGCCUU
rnacentral:rRNA from 1 species